AAUGGGCGGGAGCCUGAACCAGCCAAGUCGCGUGAAGGAAGAAGGAUCUAUGGUUCGUAAACUUCUUUUGCAGGGGAAUAAAGUGCAGGACGUGUCCUGUUUUGUAUGUACCCUGAGAAUAAGGAUCGGCUAACUCCGUGCCAGCAGCCGCGGUAAUACGGAGGAUCCGAGCGUUAUCCGGAUUUAUUGGGUUUAAAGGGUGCGUAGGUGGUUUGAUAAGUCAGCGGUGAAAGUUUGCAGCUUAACUGUAAAAAUGCCGUUGAAACUGUCGGACUUGAGUGUAAAUGAGGUAGGCGGAAUGCGUGGUGUAGCGGUGAAAUGCAUAGAUAUUAGGAGGAACACCAGUGGCGAAGGCGGCUUUCUGGACAGUAACUGACGCUGAGGAACGAAAGCGUGGGAAGCAAA
rnacentral:rRNA from 1 species